rnacentral:rRNA from 1 species
GAUGAACGCUGGCGGCGUGCCUAAUACAUGCAAGUCGAGCGAACGGACGAGGAGCUUGCUUCUCUGAUGUUAGCGGCGGACGGGUGAGUAACACGUGGAUAACCUACCUAUAAGACUGGGAUAACUUCGGGAAACCGGAGCUAAUACCGGAUAAUAUUUUGAACCGCAUGGUUCAAAAGUGAAAGACGGUCUUGCUGUCACUUAUAGAUGGAUCCGCGCUGCAUUAGCUAGUUGGUAAGGUAACGGCUUACCAAGGCAACGAUGCAUAGCCGACCUGAGAGGGUGAUCGGCCACACUGGAACUGAGACACGGUCCAGACUCCUACGGGAGGCAGCAGUAGGGAAUCUUCCGCAAUGGGCGAAAGCCUGACGGAGCAACGCCGCGUGAGUGAUGAAGGUCUUCGGAUCGUAAAACUCUGUUAUUAGGGAAGAACAUAUGUGUAAGUAACUGUGCACAUCUUGACGGUACCUAAUCAGAAAGCCACGACUAACUACGUG